rnacentral:rRNA from 1 species
AUACGUAGGUGGCAAGCGUUGUCCGGAUUUACUGGGUGUAAAGGGCGCGUAGGCGGCGCGGUAAGUCUGGAGUGAAAGUCCUGCUUUCAAGGUGGGAAUUGCUUUGGAUACUGCCGCGCUUGAGUGCAGGAGAGGUUAUCGGAAUUCCCGGUGUAGCGGUGAAAUGCGUAGAGAUCGGGAGGAACACCAGUGGCGAAGGCGGGUAACUGGACUGCAACCGACGCUGAGGCGCGAAAGUGUGGGGAGCAAACAGGAUUAGAUACCCUGGUAGUCCACACUGUAAACGAUGAAUGCUAGGUGUAAGAGGUAUCGACCCCUUUUGUGCCGGAGUCAACACAAUAAGCAUUCCGCCUGGGGAGUACGGCCGCAAGGUUGAAACUCAAAUGAAUUGACGGGG